rnacentral:rRNA from 1 species
AGAAGCUUGCUUCUUUGCUGACGAGUGGCGGACGGGUGAGUAAUGUCUGGGAAACUGCCUGAUGGAGGGGGAUAACUACUGGAAACGGUAGCUAAUACCGCAUAACGUCGCAAGACCAAAGAGGGGGACCUUCGGGCCUCUUGCCAUCGGAUGUGCCCAGAUGGGAUUAGCUAGUAGGUGGGGUAACGGCUCACCUAGGCGACGAUCCCUAGCUGGUCUGAGAGGAUGACCAGCCACACUGGAACUGAGACACGGUCCAGACUCCUACGGGAGGCAGCAGUGGGGAAUAUUGCACAAUGGGCGCAAGCCUGAUGCAGCCAUGCCGCGUGUAUGAAGAAGGCCUUCGGGUUGUAAAGUACUUUCAGCGGGGAGGAAGGGAGUAAAGUUAAUACCUUUGCUCAUUGACGUUACCCGCAGAAGAAGCACCGGCUAACUCCGUGCCAGCAGCCGCGGUAAUACGGAGGGUGCAAGCGUUAAUCGGAAUUACUGGGCGUAAAGCGCACGCAGGCGGUUUGUUAAGUCAGAUGUGAAAUCCCCGGGCUCAACCUGGGAACUGCAUCUGAUACUGGCAAGCUUGAGUCUCGUAGAGGGGGGUAGAAUUCCAGGUGUAGCGGUGAAAUGCGUAGAGAUCUGGAGGAAUACCGGUGGCGAAGGCGGCCCCCUGGACGAAGACUGACGCUCAGGUGCGAAAGC